GACGUAGGGCGCGAGCGUUGUCCGGAUUUAUUGGGCGUAAAGAGCUCGUAGGCGGCUUGUCGCGUCGAAUGUGAAAACUCGGGGCUCAACCCCGAGCUUGCGUUCGAUACGGGCAGGCUAGAGUUCGGUAGGGGAGACUGGAAUUCCUGGUGUAGCGGUGAAAUGCGCAGAUAUCAGGAGGAACACCGAUGGCGAAGGCAGGUCUCUGGGCCACUACUGACGCUGAGAAGCGAAAGCAUGGGGAGCGAACAGG
rnacentral:rRNA from 1 species